GGAAUCUUGCGCAAUGGGCGAAAGCCUGACGCAGCAACGCCGCGUGCGGGAAGAAGGCUUUCGGGCUGUAAACCGCUUUCAGCAGGAACGAAAAUGACGGUACCUGCAGAAGAAGGAGCGGCCAACUAUGUGCCAGCAGCCGCGGUGAUACAUAGGCUUCAAGCGUUGUCCGGAUUUAUUGGGCGUAAAGAGUUCGUAGGCGGUCAAGUAAGUCGGGUGUGAAAAUUCUGGGCUCAACCCAGAGACGCCACCCGAUACUGCUUAACUUGAGUUCGAUAGGGGAGUGGGGAAUUCCUAGUGUAGCGGUGAAAUGCGCAGAUAUUAGGAGGAACACCGGUGGCGAAGGCGCCACUCUGGAUCGAUACUGACGCUGAGGAACGAAAGCAUGGGUAGCAAACAGGAUUAGAUACCCUGGUAGUCCAUGCGGUAAACGGUGGGCACUAGGUGUGGGAUUCUAUUAACGAAUUCCGCGCCGUCGCUAACGCAUUAAGUGCCCCGCCUGGGGAGUACGGUCGCAAGACUAAAACUCAAAGGAAUUGACGG
rnacentral:rRNA from 1 species